rnacentral:other from 1 species
UUCACCCUGCGGUGUUCGAGACUUUACGGAGUUCUGUCCUUUACUCUUCAAAUUUUGGGAGGUGUGACGAAGUUGCUUAUNCCAAGCCAUUUUAAGAUGGAAGGUAGCAGCGAUUUCUGAGGUUCCCACUUUAGCUUUUAAAGGCUAAGAACUUCCACAAUACGGCACAUGUGGGGUUUCU